CGGCAGUGCGGCAGCUACACAUGCAAGUCGAACGGUAGCACAGAGAGCUUGCUCUCGGGUGACGAGUGGCGGACGGGUGAGUAAUGUCUGGGAAACUGCCUGAUGGAGGGGGAUAACUACUGGAAACGGUAGCUAAUACCGCAUAACGUCGCAAGACCAAAGAGGGGGACCUUCGGGCCUCUUGCCAUCAGAUGUGCCCAGAUGGGAUUAGCUAGUAGGUGGGGUAACGGCUCACCUAGGCGACGAUCCCUAGCUGGUCUGAGAGGAUGACCAGCCACACUGGAACUGAGACACGGUCCAGACUCCUACGGGAGGCAGCAGUGGGGAAUAUUGCACAAUGGGCGCAAGCCUGAUGCAGCCAUGCCGCGUGUAUGAAGAAGGCCUUCGGGUUGUAAAGUACUUUCAGCGGGGAGGAAGGUGUUGCGGUUAAUAACCGCAGCAAUUGACGUUACCCGCAGAAGAAGCACCGGCUAACUCCGUGCCAGCAGCCGCGGUAAUACGGAGGGUGCAAGCGUUAAUCGGAAUUACUGGGCGUAAAGCGCACGCAGGCGGUCUGUCAAGUCGGAUGUGAAAUCCCCGGGCUCAACCUGGGAACUGCAUUCGAAACUGGCAGGCUAGAGUCUUGUAGAGGGGGGUAGAAUUCCAGGUGUAGCGGUGAAAUGCGUAGAGAUCUGGAGGAAUACCGGUGGCGAAGGCGGCCCCCUGGACAAAGACUGACGCUCAGGUGCGAAAGCGUGGGGAGCAAACAGGAUUAGAUACCCUGGUAGUCCACGCCGUAAACGAUGUCGACUUGGAGGUUGUGCCCUUGAGGCGUGGCUUCCGGAGCUAACGCGUUAAGUCGACCGCCUGGGGAGUACGGCCGCAAGGUUAAAACUCAAAUGAAUUGACGGGGGCCCGCACAAGCGGUGGAGCAUGUGGUUUAAUUCGAUGCAACGCGAAGAACCUUACCUACUCUUGACAUCCAGAGAACUUUCCAGAGAUGGAUUGGUGCCUUCGGGAACUCUGAGACAGGUGCUGCAUGGCUGUCGUCAGCUCGUGUUGUGAAAUGUUGGGUUAAGUCCCGCAACGAGCGCAACCCUUAUCCUUUGUUGCCAGCGGUCCGGCCGGGAACUCAAAGGAGACUGCCAGUGAUAAACUGGAGGAAGGUGGGGAUGACGUCAAGUCAUCAUGGCCCUUACGAGUAGGGCUACACACGUGCUACAAUGGCGCAUACAAAGAGAAGCGAACUCGCGAGAGCAAGCGGACCUCAUAAAGUGCGUCGUAGUCCGGAUUGGAGUCUGCAACUCGACUCCAUGAAGUCGGAAUCGCUAGUAAUCGUAGAUCAGAAUGCUACGGUGAAUACGUUCCCGGGCCUUGUACACACCGCCCGUCACACCAUGGGAGUGGGUUGCAAAAGAAGUAGGUAGCUUAACCUUCGGGAGGGCGCUACCACUUUGAUCUUGCG
rnacentral:rRNA from 1 species